GACGAACGCUGGCGGCGUGCCUAAUACAUGCAAGUCGAACGCUUCUUUCCUCCCGAGUGCUUGCACUCAAUUGGAAAGAGGAGUGGCGGACGGGUGAGUAACACGUGGGUAACCUACCCAUCAGAGGGGGAUAACACUUGGAAACAGGUGCUAAUACCGCAUAACAGUUUAUGCCGCAUGGCAUAAGAGUGAAAGGCGCUUUCGGGUGUCGCUGAUGGAUGGACCCGCGGUGCAUUAGCUAGUUGGUGAGGUAACGGCUCACCAAGGCCACGAUGCAUAGCCGACCUGAGAGGGUGAUCGGCCACACUGGGACUGAGACACGGCCCAGACUCCUACGGGAGGCAGCAGUAGGGAAUCUUCGGCAAUGGACGAAAAUCUGACCGAGCAACGCCGCGUGAGUGAAGAAGGUUUUCGGAUCGUAAAACUCUGUUGUUAGAGAAGAACAAGGACGUUAGUAACUGAACGUCCCCUGACGGUAUCUAACCAGAAAGCCACGGCUAACUACGUG
rnacentral:rRNA from 1 species